rnacentral:rRNA from 1 species
GUCUACGGCCACACCUAGGCGAAAACACCAGUUCCCGUCCGAUCACUGCAGUUAAGCGUCUGAGGGUCUCGUUAGUACUAUGGUUGGAGACAACAUGGGAAUCCGGGAUGCUGUAGGUU